rnacentral:sRNA from 1 species
AGGAACCUUAGUUGUUAAAGAAAUCCAAAUCCGCUAGAUGUAUCAAAGUAUUGAGAAAGCUUCUCCUAGAGUUAAAAGAAAAGAAAAGAAUGAUUAGAAAAAGGGCUUAAAGGAUUCAUGAAUGCAAAGGGUAGAGUUAGGGUCUUAUAUUGGGAUUACCAUUAGACCUUCAUUUGAUAUACUCUGGGUAGAUGGGAUCUUAUCUCUGUAUGCAUAGCUUGGGACUUACCUUUAGCAUUCUACUAAAGCUUAAUCAAUUUUUGAGAGAUCCCCUGUUACUGAAGCCUAUUCUGUAAGGGACCAUCUUUGUCUCUUGACCUUUUGCCUUAGCCAAAUGAGUUCAUUGAUGAUGCAUUGUUUGAAUCACGUUCGAGAACUAAUGAAUGUUAAACGGAUUGGUAGAUUUUAAAACAUGUGUAGGUCGAGCAUAUGAGUCGGAUUGAUUGAUAAUAAGGCAUGGCUAAUGUUUUUGAGUAGAAUUCGACCAUAUCGAAGCUUAGAACUAUCAACUUGGACAUUGAUUUCAUCUUGUUUAUAUGGUGCUUUGGUUCUGAGUCCCCGCUUUCAAACAUCGCCUCUAGCUUGUUCUUGAUUGUUUGCUUAAGGGCAAGCAAAGACUAAGUUUGGGGGAGUUGAUAAGUGUGUAUUUUGCAUGUUUUGAGCAUCCAUUUGUCAUCACUUUAGCACCAUAUCAUCACUGUUUUAUACCAUUUCUCAUCAUUUUGCAUGUUUAGGAUAGGUUUGCAUGCAUGUUGCAUAUUUGUAUUGAUUUCAGGUGAGUUGGAGCUGUUAACGAGCUAACUGGAAGAAGCGGACCUAAUCAUGUCAAACCACUCGACCCCGAGGUUGAGUAGAAGCUUCAAGACCUCAAGAGACCACUCGACCCCCUGGUCGAGUAGAGGACUUCUCGAUUUCAUCAUAUCACUCUACCUCGAGGUCGAGUGUCUUCAUCUCCAUCACCUGACCACCACUCGAUCACCUCACUCGACCCCAAGGUCGAGUGUCUUCAUCUCCGUCACCAGAUCACCACUCGAUCACACCACUCUACCUGGAACUCGAGUAUCACCAUCACCACCACUCGACUACAUACUUGAUGGCAAGCUUCAGAGUCUUCUUCAUUCCGCACUCAACCCGACACUCGAGCAUAAGGAAGAAAAGAAGACUCCAUCUAUUCACUCGACCUCCCACUCGACCACCUGGGUCGAGUACAGUUCUUAAUCCGUCCCAAUACUGCGUCGUUUUAAGUAUUAGGGUUUCGGAAUAUUUUGCUAUAAGUGUUGGUGUCGGAUCCCGCACCAUGGGCUCGGGACCGGCCAAAGAUUGCUACACAAGUAUGGGAGGCCCAUAAGAUGAAAAGCCCGUAAGAUUCUUCAAAGUAAGAGUAUGGGUGAGAUGUCGAUUGGCGAAGUGGGUGCAACAUCGAAGUUAGGACUACUCGAAUUGAAGAAGACAAAUGGGCCGAAGGGUGAAGUCCAGGAGGCCCGGAGUGGUUUCAAAUUCGAACGUUGAAU